UACAGGGGGUGCAAACGUUGCUCGGAAUCAUUGGGCGUAAAGCGCACGUAGGCGGUCUGUUAUGUCGGAUGUGAAAGCCCUUGGCUCAACUGAGGAAGUGCAUCCGAAACUGGCAGGCUAGAGUACUAAAGAGGAUCGCGGAAUUCCCGGUGUAGAGGUGAAAUUCGUAGAUAUCAGGAGGAACACCGGUGGCGAAGGCGGCGAUCUGGGUAGAUACUGACGCUGAGGUGCGAAAGCGUGGGGAGCAAACAGG
rnacentral:rRNA from 1 species